UUGUUAGGAGGACCAAGUGGUGGUCCCUUUUCAUUGAUAUAUUCAUUCAUGUAACCUUGUGUAGUGAGAAGAGAGAAGGAAAGAGAGGCAAGAGGUCUGUGUCAAUAGCUGUAAGGAAGGGCCAAAACUCACCAUUAAAUACUCCAUCUAUGACACAGUACAACAGAGUGGGGGAAGAAGAGAGAGGUGCAUUUAUAUAAAUGGAGAGGGAGAGUCACGAGGAUUCCCCUACCUAAAACAUGCACAGCUCGUGCUCUCCUUUGUCAAUCUUUAGGUGAGAAAUUAAGUUUCUGCUUCUUUCCCUUUAAAUUAGACCUCUUAGUUUUCCAAAUUUCCCAAAAAAGGCCAAACCUCACUCCCCCCGUUUUGGUUCUUCCUUCAAUUUGUCUAAUAUGUUGGUUUGAGAGGUUGAAGCUGCCAGCAUGAUCUGGUAAUGAACGUGUUACUCUCAUUUAUAUAUAUAUAUAUAUUAACAUUAAUCAUAUAGCAGUAUUUGUAGGUAGAAAAAAUUUAAUGUUGUCAAAGAUAUAUACUGAAUCGUGGUAGCUAGGUUUGUAUUACUAGUUUAGGAUGCAAGUUUUUGAUCUUAUGAUGAUCAAUUGCUUGUGAGUUCUUUGGCAAUGAAAACAGAAUAUACUGGUGAUUUUUCCCAGUAAAAUUGUCGAGAAAAGGGAAUUGCACUAAUAGGGAAGACGCAUAGGUAAACUUGUACCUAAAUGGUAUAUGUAUUUUCCAGGCAAAAGGGUAGAAACCUAAUUAGAAACUAGCUUGAACUCAGAGCUAUAAAAGUAUAUGGUUCCAUCAGGUCAUCUUGCAGCUUCAAUCACUCACUCACAAACAGCGAAGAGAUUCUGAAACAUGCUUUUCUGGGGUCUAAUUUGCUCUCACAGAGUCACAAGUGCCUCAUACCAGGAGACAAAAGGUGGUACAAAUUUGGUUUCAUCCUUAAUUGCACACGGUUAGGGGUCCAGCUUGGUGUUGGUGACCCACAAUUCUGAACAGACAUUGACAAACCUACACAGGAUGUUACAUUCAUCUGUUGGAUAAUUAGCAUUCUGUGGUUUCCCAGAUUAUAAAUUGCAGUGAGUUUCCUCACAUAGUAUUAAUUAGUACUCCAACAGCACUUCCACAUAAGGUGGCAGUUGGGGCAUUUUUAUGGAGUACUUAUGCUUCAUAAGCAUUUUGCUGAUUCGAUCUCUUUAUCAGACAUUCAAGCAUAACAUCAGAAGUUUCUGUGAGAUUGUUGUUUUUCCCUUUUAUUCUUCAAUAUUCUGUAUCUCAAGAGUUUCCAAAAAGAUUCAAUCCAAAACAAGGCUCCUUGGCAUGAUGUUGUAUAGCUCAUUAAUUGCCAUGCACACAUCUUGUAGUCUUACGGAGACAAAAGCUUAGAUUUAUUGCUUCAAAUAAUAGGAAUCUUUUGGUUAAAAUUAAUUUUGUAACCUAACAAAAUAAAAUGGAGAAAUAAGUUUUUUAUAUCCAACUCUACAUAUCUAAUUUCAGGCCAAGAUACGGAUAAGUUGUAUCAUGAAUAUUGCACCAACAUAAAAGAGCGCUUGAAUUUUAUUAGUAGGUGUUAAUUAAAGAAUAUAAGGGAUAGGAAUAUAGGCCUCAUAGGGCAUAUCUUAAUUAUGUAAAAUAAAAAUGGAUUGUAAUGUUUUGAUAUCAGCUGUAUGAAAAGUUAGUUAAUCACUGAUAUCAAGUUUUGGUGAUCAUGGACAAGCGUGUGACUUUUUCCCUUCAAGUUGUUGUCAAGACAGGGAGACCACUUGCUUUUAGUCUCUUCAUACCUGCAAAAGAUGCUUCCAGUUGUAAUUUCUUGGCUUUAUUCUUCAUGUACUAAUUUAAAAGAUUUGAUUUGCCUAAUUAAGCAGUGGUGGUGUUCAAUUAAUUUGUCGAAAAGGGAAUAUUUAGUAGUGUUGGUUGGAUUUUUCCAUGAAAAACCAACUUCGAUUGAUGUGAUUGGGUGAUAACAUGGAUUAGAUUGUUGCCAUUUUAUUUCCUUCAGUUCUUUUUUCUCAUUUUUAUCAUGACUAUGGCAUCUGAAGAUCGGAUUCACUGUUUUGGCACCUUAUAGACAGCUAAUUUCUGUCCUUGAUUGCUAAAUAUUCUAGUUCCAAGUGUAGAUAUAUAUUCUUUAAUUCCUUGGUCUAUCAUGUUUCUACCAGAAAAACAAUGGGAUAUCAGUGAUAUUUCAAUGACAAUGAGAUUAUAGUUUGUGGUAGAGCUUGCUUUCAAGUAUACUUAAGAAUAAAAACUGUUGCGAAAAUGCUGUUCUUAAUUUUCUUUAUUUCUCGUGUUCUUGCUUUAAUCAUACACUGUAGUUAGGGAUACAUCAGUUUUAAUAUGAAAGGGCAGAUACUGGCUUGUUUUUCCCUAAUAAAAAGUUAAGGAAUUUCAGCUACCAUCUUUUGGAGGAUUUGUUUGUGUACAUAUAUUUUUCAUUAGCCUUUAUCUUUUAUUUUUAUCUUGAAAUCCCAUCAAUAAAUAUAGUACUUUUGACAGCAGCACAAUAAAUUAAUUACAUUGGGAGCCACUUUUGUUUUCAUCUCUAGAGCUGCAUGCCUGCUAGUAGGAAAGUCACUUGAUUUCAAAAACUAAUUAUGACUUACUAAUACAAUUUGAUUGAUCUGUGAAGCUCAUUGCUCGUCUUUUGGAGCUUAGAUUAGUGUUAUAGCUAGAAUGCCAGGGGUGACUUGAAGAUCUACAUGGAACAGCAGGUAAGUUCAUCAUUUUUUUUAUGAUGAUUUUGUGUUUCAUUUAGACCUUUUCAAUCUAGAUACCCUCUGUGAUGAAUUGCAUAUUUUUAUGUAUUAAUUACCUAUUUAUUUUGAGAGGGAUAUUGUAUUGAUUUGAGAGUUCAAAUUACUAGCUAGAAAA